UCUCUAUCUGUUUCCCUCCAGGGAGAUUCCGAGGAGUUCUCUUCUUUCAUCACUCUGGUCCGGGGCAGCAAUCGCAAUUGGCUAUUCCAAACUGGUGGGGGCAAAGGGGGCAUUGAUAUCGGUGGUGUGUCGGUGAGGUAAAACUGCAGCAUCGGGCAGCAUGUUGGCACCUGCAUGAACCCAACAGAGGAGCCUCAUUUCCUGUUCUCUUUCCUGAGACGUCAACCACAGGAUGAG